UACAGAGGUCUCAAGCGUUGUUCGGAUUCAUUGGGCGUAAAGGGCGCGUAGGCGGCGGGGUAAGUCGGGUGUGAAAUCUCAGAGCUCAACUCUGAAACUGCACUCGAUACUGCUCUGCUUGAGGACUGGAGAGGAGACUGGAAUUCACGGUGUAGCAGUGAAAUGCGUAGAUAUCGUGAGGAAGACCAGUGGCGAAGGCGGGUCUCUGGACAGUUCCUGACGCUGAGGCACGAAGGCCAGGGGAGCAAACGGG
rnacentral:rRNA from 1 species